GACGAACGCUGGCGGCGUGCUUAACACAUGCAAGUCGAACGAUGAAACCUAGCUUGCUAGGUCGAUUAGUGGCGAACGGGUGAGUAACACGUGACUAACCUGCCCCUUUCUCUGGGAUAACGCUCCGAAAGGAGUGCUAAUACCGGAUACUCACACCGAGGCACAUGCCUUGGUGUGGAAAGUUUUUCGGAAAGGGAUGGAGUCGCGGCCUAUCAGCUUGUUGGUGAGGUAACGGUUCACCAAGGCGACGACGGGUAGCCGGCCUGCGAGGGCGACCGGCCACACUGGGACUGAGACACGGCCCAGACUCCUACGGGAGGCAGCAGUGGGGAAUAUUGCACAAUGGGCGCAAGCCUGAUGCAGCGACGCCGCGUGAGGGAUGAAGGUCUUCGGAUUGUAAACCUCUUUCAGUAGGGACGAAGCGAAAGUGACGGUACCUAAAGAAGAAGCACCGGCUAACUACGUGCCAGCCGCCGCCGUAA
rnacentral:rRNA from 1 species